rnacentral:RNase_P_RNA from 1 species
CGAGCCAGCCAGGCAGUCGCUGGGCCUUUUUCUCUAUUCUUUCACUUGUGGUUGAACGGGGUUGGGGCCGAGAGGAAAGUCCGGGCUCCAUAGGGUAGAACGCCAGGUAACACCUGGGGGGUGCAAGCCUACGGAAAGUGCAGCAGAGAGCAGACCGCCUAAGCUUCCUCGGAAGCCGGUAAGGGUGAAAGGGUGGGGUAAGAGCCCACCGCGUAGCUGGUAACAGUCUACGGCAUGGUAAACCCCGUUCGGAGCAAGACCAAAUAGGCCCACUAUAGGCGUGUACCCGCGCUGUGGGCGGGUAGGUUGCUAAAGAUUUAUGGCGACGUAAAUCGUAGAUGAAUGACUGUCCACGACAGAACCCGGCUUAUCGGCUGGCUCACUUU